AGUGCCAUCUUGUAUGUCUGUGAAUCAAUCUGAUGCGAAUUUAACAUUAAGUUUGGUUACAGCCGUGGCUUAUUUCUUCUCUUGUGUUCAGUUUCUAGGAUUGUACUUAACAUUAGGUUACAUAGACUUCCACUUGUGGCCGGCCGGGUGAUCCAAAGUACCAUGGCUGCAGCAGAACCACGUUUAGAUGACAGAACUCUGAAUGAGGUCGCGAAGAAACUUGGUUCUGAUUGGGUAACACUGGCAAUUGAGCUGGGCUUCACGACGAUAGAGGUUCGGAAUAUCGAGAAAAAAUACCCAAACGAAAUCAUAAGGCAAGGUCUUGAAAUGCUUGUAACAUGGAAACAGGCCCAGUCCACCGGUGUUGCACAACAAAUUACCACGUUGUGCACAGCAUUGACGAACAUCGGACGAGCAGAUGUCACCAAGAUUCUGGGUCGGAUCUGACCCAGGACUUAUAAGAGUGUAAUGGGAUGACAAACCACAAUACAUUAUGUACCAGGUGAACAGAUUUGACCUGACAUUAUUUUCGUGUUGACAUAGACUAUUCUCACAAAUUUUCAUAACGCAUACAAUGCGCAGAGACCUGUUUUUGCAAUUUAUGCAAGUAAACUGUCUUUAAUUCCUCUUCGCAUUACCCAUGCAAUGACCAAAGACAUACAUGCAUGUAUUAAACGCUCAGAAAUCCGGCAAGAUUUGACCAGACUCUCUUUGGGGUCAAAAUGAUACUUUUGUCGGUCAAACAACAAUUGCCUGGGGUCAAAUGACCGGGAAGGCAACAAUUAAGUGUAUUUUUUUAUUCGAAAAAAUGUCAGGCCAAAAUUGACCCAGGACUUAAAAGAGUGUAUGUGAUUUGCCAAAUGUGAAUCUGGAAACAUUUUAAAUUGACAAAGUAUUGACAACUUCAAAUUGUGCGCGUAUGUAUGAGAACAUCACUGAUUUGAAAACCUAUAGUGGAUGUAUGGCACUCGUUGAUUUCUUAUCAAACACUGAGGCCGUCAAACACUGACGCUCGUGCAGAGUUUGGUGUUAAGACAACUUUUAAAAACUGCAAGCGAAACAAUAAGUUAAGCACUGUUUUUAGGAUAUACAAUCCUUAGAAAAUGGUACCACAUGUGGAAAAAGAAUCUGCUGACAUAUUUCGAUGCAAAUCAGGUGUGAUUUCAAAUGCAGGUGCACAAACUGUUGAAAAUUUUACUAUUAUUUCCAAAAGUGUUUGAAAAAAAAUUAACAAAAGAGAAUAAAUUGUUCAAGAACAGAUUAUGUUAUAUUCACCUGUUUUUCCUUAAUAUCUGUUAUCACACGUACGUACUCUUUCAAGUAGCAGAAUAAUUCUCUUUUUUUGUUGUUGUUGCAAGUAAAUAACUAACGUAGUGGACUUAUGGACUGCAUUCUAGUUCCAUGUUUUUAACUACAGUUGUUUCCACAGUGCCAACACUUUGUGUCAAUCGUAUUCCGUUGUAUUGCAUUGUACUUUAAUAAUUUCUUUUAGAAAGCAACUGGAAUAUGAAACCAUUAUUUACAACGCAUAUUAAGCGAUCCCGAACCAUGAAAACAAAGAAAAUACAAUCUAAAUCUCAAUGACACGAAGGAAAUAUUGAUCUGCGUUGAAUUUUUACUUUAUGUCAUUAAAGUUACAAUGUCUCAUCAACAAACAAGGCUUCACCUUUAUUUCAUAAUUAUCCGAUUGAAUUGUAUUUAAACAUAGGGAGUAUUGACUUAGUAUAGUUUAUAUCACAUGUAUACUUGGCCUAUUUCUAAGUACACUUCAAAGUGCAAACGGAAAAGGUCGCAGCUUUUUUAUUCCUUAAUUUAAUUUUCAUUUCCUGAUCCAGAGAUCUGAGAAUUUCUCACGAGGAAAGACAUAAAAUCGAUAUUGUAUCGAAAACCACUUUAAUUUGUUGUCGGAUAAGAAUGGAAUAAUUUGUAGUCCUUUUGACACUCUUGCUAGCUGAUAAGUCAUUCACUAGACUUACCAGAGUGCGCAUGUAAACAAGAAUUGUCACUAGCUGGCCAAGCCAAUUGUUUCUUUUUAUACUAGCCUAACCCUUUUAUUCAAUUGAGCACCGUGACACAUUGAGUACAAUUCAUGUAUUUAACUUGGGCUCUCCAAAAGCACGUCACUGGAUUAAAAAGGACUUGCCGUAAAUUAUUUGCAUAAAUUACUUACCUUGCAUUUCAAGUGCCAGUAGUAUAGGUAUAAAAACCUGAGCACACAUUUGCACAUUGAGAACCUACAGCUGGUAACUGAUAGGAGAGACAUAUCUCUCUGAGAUGUGUUUCUUUCAGUUUUUGAUCUGCCAACACGGCUUGAACUUGUGACUCAAGGUCCGUCGUUAACCUAUUGGUGUCGUACAUUUUCUUUUACGUGCAGUUAUGUGCCCUUUGCCCUAUUUCAGCCGUGCUUGUUCGUUUUACUGUACAUUAUGAUUUUGUUUAAUGAUUAACGAUUGUAAUUAUGAUUGUAUUUUGGUAGUUAAACUGUGAUAAUGUAAUAGUUUGCAUGGUUUGCUUUCUGUGCAUGUGGCUUUUUUGUUUUAAUGAGUGCUUUUUGGGAGAGUUCGAUUGCUAAUCGGCGAGGGGUUGUUUUGUCCCCUUCCAGGAAAAGUUUUAGGAAAAGAGUGAUUUGCUACUUGAUGGGCCAGUAAGCACAGGAAGUAAAUCUCUCAACUGCAAGUUUAAAAUGAAACUGCAACACAUUUUAAUGAUCGUGGUUGGGCUGUUCGCCCAAAAUUUAAACUUUAUUACCGAAACAAUCUUAUUUUUCUCCUGGACUCCUGUUAUUGUCUGUUAUUUAGUUUGUUUCCAUUUAAUCCGUAAAGCCAAAUUUGUUGCAAAUAUAAAAUAAUAAUAAUUUCAGUAUUUUUAAUUAAAGGCCACAAGAAAGUGA